rnacentral:rRNA from 4 species
AGAGUUUGAUCAUGGCUCAGAUUGAACGCUGGCGGCAGGCCUAACACAUGCAAGUCGAGCGGUAGCACAGAGAGCUUGCUCUCGGGUGACGAGCGGCGGACGGGUGAGUAAUGUCUGGGAAACUGCCUGAUGGAGGGGGAUAACUACUGGAAACGGUAGCUAAUACCGCAUAACGUCGCAAGACCAAAGUGGGGGACCUUCGGGCCUCAUGCCAUCAGAUGUGCCCAGAUGGGAUUAGCUAGUAGGUGGGGUAACGGCUCACCUAGGCGACGAUCCCUAGCUGGUCUGAGAGGAUGACCAGCCACACUGGAACUGAGACACGGUCCAGACUCCUACGGGAGGCAGCAGUGGGGAAUAUUGCACAAUGGGCGCAAGCCUGAUGCAGCCAUGCCGCGUGUGUGAAGAAGGCCUUCGGGUUGUAAAGCACUUUCAGCGGGGAGGAAGGCGGUGAGGUUAAUAACCUCACCGAUUGACGUUACCCGCAGAAGAAGCACCGGCUAACUCCGUGCCAGCAGCCGCGGUAAUACGGAGGGUGCAAGCGUUAAUCGGAAUUACUGGGCGUAAAGCGCACGCAGGCGGUCUGUCAAGUCGGAUGUGAAAUCCCCGGGCUCAACCUGGGAACUGCAUUCGAAACUGGCAGGCUAGAGUCUUGUAGAGGGGGGUAGAAUUCCAGGUGUAGCGGUGAAAUGCGUAGAGAUCUGGAGGAAUACCGGUGGCGAAGGCGGCCCCCUGGACAAAGACUGACGCUCAGGUGCGAAAGCGUGGGGAGCAAACAGGAUUAGAUACCCUGGUAGUCCACGCUGUAAACGAUGUCGAUUUGGAGGUUGUGCCCUUGAGGCGUGGCUUCCGGAGCUAACGCGUUAAAUCGACCGCCUGGGGAGUACGGCCGCAAGGUUAAAACUCAAAUGAAUUGACGGGGGCCCGCACAAGCGGUGGAGCAUGUGGUUUAAUUCGAUGCAACGCGAAGAACCUUACCUGGUCUUGACAUCCACAGAACUUUCCAGAGAUGGAUUGGUGCCUUCGGGAACUGUGAGACAGGUGCUGCAUGGCUGUCGUCAGCUCGUGUUGUGAAAUGUUGGGUUAAGUCCCGCAACGAGCGCAACCCUUAUCCUUUGUUGCCAGCGGUUAGGCCGGGAACUCAAAGGAGACUGCCAGUGAUAAACUGGAGGAAGGUGGGGAUGACGUCAAGUCAUCAUGGCCCUUACGACCAGGGCUACACACGUGCUACAAUGGCAUAUACAAAGAGAAGCGACCUCGCGAGAGCAAGCGGACCUCAUAAAGUAUGUCGUAGUCCGGAUUGGAGUCUGCAACUCGACUCCAUGAAGUCGGAAUCGCUAGUAAUCGUAGAUCAGAAUGCUACGGUGAAUACGUUCCCGGGCCUUGUACACACCGCCCGUCACACCAUGGGAGUGGGUUGCAAAAGAAGUAGGUAGCUUAACCUUCGGGAGGGCGCUUACCACUUUGUGAUUCAUGACUGGGGUGAAGUCGUAACAAGGUAACCGUAGGGGAACCUGCGGUUGGAUCACCU